GUUAAGCGACUAAGCGUACACGGUGGAUGCCCUGGCAGUCAGAGGCGAUGAAGGACGUGCUAAUCUGCGAUAAGCGUCGGUAAGGUGAUAUGAACCGUUAUAACCGGCGAUUUCCGAAUGGGGAAACCCAGUGUGAUUCGUCACACUAUCAUUACGUGAAUACAUAGCGUAAUGAAGCGAACCGGGGGAACUGAAACAUCUAAGUACCCCGAGGAAAAGAAAUCAACCGAGAUUCCCCCAGUAGCGGCGAGCGAACGGGGAGCAGCCCAGAGUCUGAAUCAGCUUGUGUGUUAGUGGAACGGUCUGGAAAGUCCGACGGUACAGGGUGAUAGUCCCGUACACCAAAAUGCACAGGUUGUGAACUCGAAGAGUAGGGCGGGACACGUGGUAUCCUGUCUGAAUAUGGGGGGACCAUCCUCCAAGGCUAAAUACUCCUGACUGACCGAUAGUGAACCAGUACCGUGAGGGAAAGGCGAAAAGAACCCCGGCGAGGGGAGUGAAAAAGAACCUGAAACCGUGUACGUACAAGCAGUGGGAGCCUCUUUAUGGGGUGACUGCGUACCUUUUGUAUAAUGGGUCAGCGACUUAUAUUCUGUAGCAAGGUUAACCGUAUAGGGGAGCCGAAGGGAAACCGAGUCUUAACUGGGCGUUAAGUUGCAGGGUAUAGACCCGAAACCCGGUGAUCUAGCCAUGGGCAGGUUGAAGGUUGGGUAACACUAACUGGAGGACCGAACCGACUAAUGUUGAAAAAUUAGCGGAUGACUUGUGGCUGGGGGUGAAAGGCCAAUCAAACCGGGAGAUAGCUGGUUCUCCCCGAAAGCUAUUUAGGUAGCGCCUCGUGAAUUCAUCUUCGGGGGUAGAGCACUGUUUCGGCUAGGGGGUCAUCCCGACUUACCAACCCGAUGCAAACUGCGAAUACCGAAGAAUGUUAUCACGGGAGACACACGGCGGGUGCUAACGUCCGUCGUGAAGAGGGAAACAACCCAGACCGCCAG
rnacentral:rRNA from 1 species